CAACUUGAGGGAAUAAGUACUAAUAAACACUUUCUGUUGAACGCGUUCGCCAAUCGCUCUGGCAUGAAUGCCAUGUCACAUGUUUGGUCUUUAUUAUAUGACAUGUGAAUUUGUGAGUCCUACAUUAUUAGAAAAAAUAUUUAAUCUUUAAAAGUUUUAAUUUCUUUUUUCUUUCUCUUUUUUCUCCACCAUACACAGCCAAUAGUCCACAAAUAGCUUCAAACCUCAGCCAUUUUUUACCACAAUCAUCUUCUUCCUCCUAUAUGGAAGCUUCGUCCAAGCAACAAUAUAGCAUGCUCUUUUAUGCUUUGGCAGCCUGUGUAUAUAACAUGUGUUAUAUACACACUAUUCACAAGGUAGCAAUGGAUGAAAGCUUCAGAGUACGGAUGGACAAGUCGCCGGCUCUCUGACUUCGACGGCGACGAUUCCCUCCUCCAAUUUGAGUUCUUUCUAGUGUUUAAUCGAUGACGAUAUUCAAAAAAAUAAUGGGACAAGGAUAGUCCCUCCCGUAAACUACUCGGCUUUGAUUCCAAACCCUGGCAUUUUCAUAUUGACGUCUUCUUCUCUAAGCCCCACCUGCAAACCCAAGAUUUCCCUUGAAAGAGUUCAGUGACGACCAAGAAGAACCAGAUGAUGAUGAUGCUGAUGAUCGGUUAUUCGGUCUUGCAUUUCUUUUUCCAGUAAACCAAUGCAUAAUAAUUUGGACUAUUUUAUAUUUAUGCUUGGAAUCCUUAUGCAAGAGCCAUUUAGUCAAUGGGGAAGAGAAUGGGAAAAGAAACUGGGAAGGGAAGUGAAAGUAGGAUAGAAAAUUAAAAAAAAAAAUUACAGGAUGGGGAGUUGCUUAGGAAGAUGAGAGAGGUGGGAGAGGAGGGGAGAGAGAAAGAACUUUUUUCUUUUUCUUUCUUAUUUAUAUUUUAUUCUAUUUCUAUUUUUUAAUAAAAAUAAAAUUAUUCACAUGUCUUGGCAGCGUGAUUUUCACACAAUUUAGUCAUGUCAGCUGUGCCACUUUCACAUAGGCUUGGUCAAUAGUAAGAUAUUUUAUUAGUAUUUAUUCUGUCAAGUUGAAGUGUUCAAAUGAGAAAAAUAUAAGUUCAUGUAUCAACUUUACAAGAUACAAGUUUAAGUGGCCAGAAAGCCAUUACGCCUGAUUUAUACCUUACAUUAAUUUGUACAUUAAAUAAUUUAAUUGCAUUAAUUUGAGUUAUGUACCUUAAUUCUAAAUCUAAUAUACUUCAAACCAAAAACUCUAAAAAAUUAUAAUUGUAGGUAGUUUAAAUCUAAAUCUUAUGUAGUUCAAAAACCCUAUUUAGUCAUAUAAAUCCUAAAUAGACAAUAACCCUUAAAAAAUGCAUAAAACUAUAUUCCAAAAAUUAAAAAUUAAAAAGAUAAUAAAGUAGAUUACUAACCUUGAAUAGAAAUGAUAGUGAUGGUACCGCCAAGGAGGAGAACGACAAUGGUGGUGGUGGCGGCGCGAAACAAGCUAGGUAGUGGUGGUGGCGGUGGCGCGGAACAGUAGUGGCAGUGGCUGGGGGCACAGGCGUGAGAGAGAUAAGGUGAUGCUUCGAUUUUGGGUGGGAUUAGACUAAAAAUCUGUGAGGAAGGGAGAUGAAUGAGAGAUAGAAGAAAGAGAGAGUGUGUGAAAAGAUGAAAAU
rnacentral:lncRNA from 1 species